GUGCUCACUUUGACAACAUAUACAUUAAAGUUGCAAAAAUUAGCCUGGCCCCUGCACAAGGAUGGCAUGCAGCAUUAUGCAUUUUUAAAAUGUCUG
rnacentral:snRNA from 1 species